UCCAGAUCAUGUGCUACCGGAUCAAAUGGCCUGCGCAACGCCAAGGCGUUAGGAUUUCCUCCAAGUUCCAGCUGGGCAACGGACAGUGCGUCCUGAGUAACCGGCGUGCCCUGUAGUUCCGCCAUUUUGAAUAAAACUGGCCGAAUAUCGCACGGAGGGAGGCAGAAUAACGUGAUCUAAUCGUAAUGGGAAUUCUUCAACGUUAUGAAAAAUAACAAACUCGCUCCUAAUGAAAUAUCUGCCAGUUUGACGAAGACGCCGUUUUCUAUUAUAUACGUACACAAAUACACGUCUGAAGGAUGUCUGUAGACUACAGUCUACGGUGUGUGCGAACAAUGAUGAUCGACUUUGGAAUGUUACCCGAAAGAAAGGAAUGUUUCCCGCGCAAAACUUGCUUCGAACAUUCUAUAAUCCCCUCAACCAGAGUUCCCCGUCCACCGAAUUAUCAGACUACAAACUUUCGGUUCUACAUUUUUCACCUUGGGACGUCUGCCGAUUCAAGCAUCGAACGCAUCUGUUAGGAAGAAAUUAGAGUUUGGAGAAUUAAAAUCUUGAUCGCAUGUGGAAAGUAUAGAAUAUGGAGUACCUACUUCCAGAACAUUCUGCCUCCUACGCCGCCGCCCUUGCUGCUCAAGCGCCAUCGGGCCGCAAGUAAAAUUUACGUUUUACUCUGUGCAGCCACGAAAAAAUAG
rnacentral:misc_RNA from 1 species